CCGAGGAAGGUCCUCAGAGGCGGAAGUGGGGUACCGGAAGCGGCGUUGCCAUGGAGUCCGCGGAGGACUGGCUGGUGGAAUCCUUGCGCUUGUACCAAGAUUUCCAUGCAUUCGACCUUUCGGGAGCCACUCGAGUCCUUGAAUGGAUUGGUGACAAAGGAGUCUUUGUUGCUGGCUAUGAAAGCCUGAAAAAAAACGAGAUCCUUCAUCUGAUACUACCUCUCAGACUUUCUGUAAAAGAAAACCAGUCAGAGAGAGGCACAAGCACUGGUCCCGCCCUGCUUGUCUCACGGGGAGGCAGGGAUGCACCAGAGGGCUUAUGCCCAGAAAGAGAUUUCAAGGUGUGCCACGGAGGAUUUUCAGACACGUCUGUCUUUGAUCUGAAGCACGUGCCAGACACCAGGUUGCUGGUAACCACUGGUCUUCCGGGUUCUUACCUGCAUGUGUGGCAGGUCACAGAGGACAGUGACGUCAUUCAAGCCGUCAGCACCAUUGCUGUGCAGGAGAAGGAGGGCAGUCUCUGGCCCAGGGUGGCCGUCUUCUCUUCGAUGGCACCCGGAGUGCUCCACGGGGUGAGGCUCAGCAGUCUGAAGGUCGUGGAUCUGGAAUCGCAGAAGACCACAUACACCUCAGGGGUCAGUGACAGUGAGGAGCUAAGUAGCCUGCAGGUCUUGGAUGCAGACACCUUUGCCUUCUGCUGUUCCUCGGGCCGGCUGGGGCUUGUCGACAUCCGCCAGAAGUGGGCGCCAUCAGAGAAUGUCAGCCCCAACCUUGGGGCUGCUGGAGGGAGGUGGUGUGCUGAAGUUGGGGGCCGGGGCCCUGGGCCCAGCAUUGCCAGCCUUGGCUCAGACGGACAACUCUGUCUUCUGGAUCCCCGGGAUCUCUGCCAUCCUGUGAGUUCCGUCCAGUGCUCAGUGUCUGCACCCAGCCCCGACCCAGAGCUGCUGCGAGUGACCUGGGCGCCAGGCCUGGACAGCUGUUUGGCCAUUUCAGGUUUUGAUGGGACAGUCCAGGUCUAUGAUGCCACAUCUUGGGAUGGAGUGGGGAGCCAAGUAGAACCUCUCUUCACUCACAGAGGUCACAUCUUCCUGGAGGGCAGCCGGAUAGACAGUGCUCCACUGGUCACUACCCACACUUGGCACCCACACAAACCACGGACUCUCUUAUCGGCAGCAAGCGACGCCUCUCUGCACGUGUGGGACUGGGUGGACCUCCGUGCGGCCUGCUGACUCCAGCGUCUUCCUGCCCAGGCCUUGACGAAGAGGAGGAGCUGCUGUAGAACCAAGCUCUGUGACCAUCAUGGGCUCUGGCUUGCUGGCCGUCAGUGGGCACACUUGUAUCCAUCAGCUCGGGCCGCCCUAACAGAACACCACAGACUAAAGGCUCACACAGCAGAAGCUUCGCUGCUCACAGUCCUGGAGGCUGGAAGUCCAAGACCCAGGUGCCAGCACGUUUCCUUCGGAAUCCUCUUCAGGUGGCUUAAUAGGGCCACCAUCUCUGUGUGCUCACUGUGUGCUCACCGCUCUGCAGCCCUGCAGAGAGCGCUCUGGUCUCUGUUCCUCUUACAAGGACACCAGUCCUUUCGGAUUAGUGCCCCACCCUCAUGACUUCAUUUAACCUUACUUACUUCUUGAAGGCCUUAGCUCCAAAUACUGUCACGUGGGGGGUUAGGGUUUCAACAUAAGAAUUUGGGGCAGGGGCACAAGUCAAUUCAUAGCACUUAGGAAUUAUUUUGAAGUUAGAAAAACCUGAGAAAUUUUCAAAUGAAAUGUUUUUUUUUAUUUAUUUAACAAUGAAGUUGAGGGAGUGUUAUAUAUUGGAGAAGUUUAAUUUAAAAUAUUCAGUUUCAGGAUGUGAUCAUUUUUACCAUUUUUCUAAAGUCUUCUUUCUGUCCUUUCCCCACACCCCCCACUCCCCCGUGAGAACUGAUCCUGUAGAGCUCUUCUUGGCUCUGUUAGUGACGUCACACUGUUGAAAUCAGCCAUGAUGGAAAUACUUACCCACAGAAAUUGGCAAAUACUACAGCAUACCGCAGGUUAAGCUCUAUUAUUUCACCAAAUAAAAGCAGAAAUGAGUCAGUUAGAAAAUAGUAGAAUUGAUGCAUGAAUUCAAAAGCUGCUUUGCUGAAAAAUAGUGAUAAAAUGCCUAUCAGUCAGUCAAGGUCCAGCUAGAAAGACUGAACCCACACCGAGUAAUUCAGCUGCAGGAAUUCAGUUAUGAGGCAUCUGAAAGGAUGCAGGGGAAGGUGGGACCCAUGAGAGGAGCAAAGCAGGAGGUUAGCCAGAGGGACAAAGGGGUGGGGUGUGGGUGUGACCAGAGGUGAACAGUGGGGCCUCCCAGUGGGAAGGGGAGCACGGCAAUCCUGCUGGGCAAUCCUGCUGGCCGGGGCUGGGACUGCAGAGGAGACAGCCAAAGACUGCAUGAAGUACAGAGACGGGAGAGGUCCCCUGGCUCCUCUCCUUCGGCCCUCCCGCAGCCUGCCUGUGCCCUGGCCCAGCUGUGACGGGAGCUCACCAGCAGGGUAGCCUGCACCUGCAGUACAGAGCGGGGGGGGGGACGGAACCGGGAUGGACCUGAGGACAAACAGAUGACUGGCACCACAUCUAAACCUCUACGAAUUAAGCAAGAAAAAGGAAAAAAAAAGAAAACAAAGAUUAUAAGAGAACAAUGUGUAAAAUUCUAUGUUAAUUUGAAAAGCUCAAGAUACAGUUAAUUUUCUUAAAAACUGAUAUUUGUAAACUACUUUUUAGUAGAAAAUCUGAAUUCUCCAAUACUCAAGAAAGAAAAACCUGGAGAGGCGCCUGGGGGCUCAGUCGUUAAGCAUCUGCCUUCUGCUCGGGUCAUGGUUCUAGAGUCCUGGGAUCGAGCCCCACAUCGG